ACAUCAAUUGCAUCAAUAGACAUUUAGCACUCCCCUUGAGAAGGAUGGAAAUGUGGACCGCAACACACAUAAGGAUUGGGUAUUGUCACUUCAUGCCGUCGUGGCAUCGCUAUCCUAGUUCUUAC